CCUACGGGGGGCAGCAGUGGGGAAUAUUGCACAAUGGGGGAAACCCUGAUGCAGCGACGCCGCGUGAGUGAAGAAGUAUUUCGGUAUGUAAAGCUCUAUCAGCAGGGAAGAAAUAGCGACCUUUGGGUCGCCAGACGGUACCUGAUUAAGAAGCCCCGGCUAACUACGUGCCAGCAGCCGCGGUAAUACGUAGGGGGCAAGCGUUAUCCGGAUUUACUGGGUGUAAAGGGAGCGUAGACGGCAGCACAAGUCUGAAGUGAAAUGCCGGGGCUUAACCCCGGAACUGCUUUGGAAACUGUGCAGCUAGAGUGCAGGAGAGGUAAGUGGAAUUCCUAGUGUAGCGGUGAAAUGCGUAGAUAUUAGGAGGAACACCAGUGGCGAAGGCGGCUUACUGGACUGUAACUGACGUUGAGGCUCGAAAGCGUGGGGAGCAAACAGGA
rnacentral:rRNA from 1 species